UGCGUAGGCGGUUUAUUAAGUCAGAUGUGAAAGCCCCGGGCUUAAUCUGGGAACUGCAUUUGAUACUGGUAGACUAGAGUAUGAUAGAGGGGGGUAGAAUUCCUAGUGUAGCGGUGAAAUGCGUAGAUAUUAGGAGGAAUACCAGUGGCGAAGGCGGCCCCCUGGACCAAUACUGACGCUGAGGUACGAAAGCGUGGGUAGCGAACA
rnacentral:rRNA from 1 species